rnacentral:rRNA from 1 species
AUUGAACGCUGGCGGCAGGCCUAACACAUGCAAGUCGAGCGGGCGGCGGAUGGGUGAUGAAUGCCUGGCAGUUGCCCGGUGGAGGUGGCUAACAGAUGGAAACGACUGCUACUACCACAUUCGAUUGGGUUGCCCAGGUUGGUUUAGCUAGUUGGUGAGGGAAUGGCUCACCAAGGCGACGAUCCCUGGCUGGUCGGGAAGGAUGGUCAGCCACACUGGAACUGAGACACGGUCCAGACUCCUACGGGAGGCAGCAGUGGGGAAUAUUGCACAAUGGGGGAAACCCUGAUGCAGCCAUGCCGGGUGUGUGAAGAAGGCCUUCGGGUUGUAAAGCACUUUCAGCGAGGAGGCGUUACUCGCAGAAGAAGCACCGGCUAACUCCGUGCCAGCAGCCGCGGUAAUUC